CAGUUCGGUCUCCUAUCUACUAUUCACGACGAUGAUUGACAGGACCCAUCCCUAGUACGAGAGGACCGGGAUGGACAGACCUCUUGUGUACCAGUUGUCCUGCCAAGGGCACUAGCUGGGUAGCGAAGUCUGGUUCGGAUAAGCGCUGAAAGCAUCUAAGCGCGAAGUCGACCUGAAGAUUAAUCAUCAUAGAUCCCAGAGAGACGAUCUGGUUGAUAGGCCAUAGGUGAAAGCAUCGUAAGAUGUGCAGCCGAGUGGUACUAAUAGAUCAUGACU
rnacentral:rRNA from 1 species